GGCGAUUAUCAGUGACUGAGUGAGUGACAAUACUGUCACAUCGGGAAUCUGGUGGAAAACCAGAACUGGCGCGCAGCGGUGAGGAUACAACUACAAUUACCUUGAAAUACCACUGGGCUUAGAUUCCUGGGAAGGGCGGUAAUUGAUGGGCUUGAGUAUCCGAGUCCGAAGACCGGCUUAGUCAGCAGACUCGUU
rfam:Corynebacterium pseudotuberculosis C231, complete genome.